rnacentral:rRNA from 1 species
CCUACGGGUGGCAGCAGUGAGGAAUAUUGGUCAAUGGGCGGAAGCCUGAACCAGCCACGUAGCGUGCGGGAUGAAGGCCCUACGGGUCGUAAACCGCUUUUGCACGGGGAUACCACCCUCCACUUGUGGAGGUCUGCAGGUACCGUGCGAAUAAGGGCCGGCCAAUUCCGUGCCAGCAGCCGCGGUAAUACGGAAGGCCGGAGCGGUAUUCGGAUUCAAUGGGGUUAAAGGGAGCGUAGGAGGGCGUUCAAGUCAGCUGUAAAAUCGCGCGGCUCAACCGCGCCCCGCAGUUGAAUCUGGACGCAUUGAGGUCAGAACGGGCAGGCGGGAUUCGUGGUGUAGCGGUGAAA